GUGAGUAACACGUGAGUAACCUGCCCCUGACUCUGGGAUAAGCCCGGGAAACUGGGUCUAAUACCGGAUACGACCACUUCCCGCAUGGGAUGGUGGUGGAAAGUUUUUUCGGUUGGGGAUGGACUCGCGGCCUAUCAGCUUGUUGGUGGGGUAACGGCCUACCAAGGCGACGACGGGUAGCCGGCCUGAGAGGGCGACCGGCCACACUGGGACUGAGACACGGCCCAGACUCCUACGGGAGGCAGCAGUGGGGAAUAUUGCGCAAUGGGCGAAAGCCUGACGCAGCGACGCCGCGUGGGGGAUGACGGCCUUCGGGUUGUAAACCUCUUUCAGCAGGGACGAAGUUGACGUGUACCUGCAGAAGAAGCGCCGGCUAACUACGUGCCAGCAGCCGCGGUAAUACGUAGGGCGCAAGCGUUGUCCGGAAUUAUUGGGCGUAAAGAGCUCGUAGGUGGCUUGUCACGUCGGGUGUGAAAGCUUGGGGCUUAACUCCAGGUCUGCAUUCGAUACGGGCUGGCUAGAGGUAGGUAGGGGAGAACGGAAUUCCUGGUGUAGCGGUGAAAUGCGCAGAUAUCAGGAGGAACACCGGUGGCGAAGGCGGUUCUCUGGGCCUUACCUGACGCUGAGGAGCGAAAGCGUGGGGAGCGAACAGGAUUAGAUAC
rnacentral:rRNA from 1 species